rnacentral:rRNA from 1 species
UACGUAGGGGGCUAGCGUUGUCCGGAAUCAUUGGGCGUAAAGCGCGUGUAGGCGGCUUCGUAAGUCCGUUGUGAAAGUCCAGGGCUCAACCCUGGAAUGCCGGUGGAUACUGUCGGGCUAGAGUCCGGAAGGGGCGAGUGGAAUUCCUGGUGUAGCGGUGAAAUGCGUAGGAUAUCUGGAGGAACACCGGUGGCGAAGGCGAAGUCCUGGACCAACACCUG